AAAGAAGGACAGUUAAUGGAGAAGAAGGGGACACAGCUGGUGGCCAGAGAGGCCAGAGCCAGGCUACCAAACUCCUGCACAAAUGAACCAGCCUCAGGACCCACGGAGUUUGCUUGGAACUGAUUGGCUCCAAGAGAGGCGGAGAGGAAACUGAGGCAAGAAAGGGAAGAAAGUGGUUCCCAAGGGAAGCAGCAUCUGGGCAGGAGCCCUGUGCCAGACCCAGGUCUCUGUCCAUUGUACCAGGCUGCCCACCCAAGGGUGGGGGAGGCAGCUGGAAGGGGAAUCCCGCUCCCUUGGCCUGACGGGGUCUUCCUGCUCUCUGCAUAGGAAGGUCUCCAGGGAGGGGGAGCCCACCGCCCCCUGAGGCAGCCCAUUCCCCACUGGGAUGUGCAGUUGGUGGGAAGCGUUUCCUUAGCCUCUGUUGGCCCCUUCCCUCCUUGGUCUGUUCCCUCCCUCCCAGGACGGCCCUGCCCUCACUUCCCUCCAGCCUCCUCUUCUCCCAGCCUGACACCCCCGAUGUCUUCAGCUGGUUCUCCUUUGACACGAGCUCAAGGCCCAUCCGGGUCACAGCCUGUGGACUCUCCGGCAACCCCAGAGCCCAGACUUGAGCCCGAGCUUCCAGGUGAGCUCUGAGGUGGGAUCCCAAGAACACCUUGUUUUUUAGUAAAGACAUAAUCCCCUUGUGUCCCUAUUGCUCUGUGCCCCCCAGUGAUGGCGUGUGGGGGGGUUACAUGCGUGCCAACCCCUUGUGGAUUUCAGAGUUCUACAAAUGGGAGUCCCCCGCCCUUUAGUCUUUGGAAACAAAUGGUCCUUAGUCAGUGACAUGCAUUUAUUAAAUGCCUACUGUAUACAAAGCCUCAGAGAUGCAAAGAGAAGCCAAAACAGAUGCUCCAUGGAGUUACAGUCUAAGGAGGGAGACAAUGAGUGAAUAUUGUAGGGGGAGGUAUAAACAGAAGGGAUGCAGAGUGAUGGAGGGGUAGGAGGGAGGACCAGCAAGGGAGCCACCAGGAGAAGCAGGAGCUCCCAGUGGGAAGAGCACAGAAGCAUUGUGUUUGAGGAGCUGGAGCCAGAAAAGGCGCAAGGGCAGCCAGUGAGGAGCUCUGGCGGUCGCGGGGGAUGCUGGUGCACC